rnacentral:lncRNA from 1 species
AAAGAUACUAUAUUGCCAUAUGGGAGGUUAAUCACUAGAAUUCUUCAUGCCUAUGACAUUUGCAUUCCACCCGAUGAAGAAUCUAUUCAAAAUGAUCGAUAUAACAUAAUAAAUAAAAACCUACUGAAAAGACUUAGGUGCACUUUUAGCAAUGGCAUAUGGGUUAGGCAACCUAGAAGGACGGAUCCAAUUCCUCCACCAAUAGAACAGCCCGAAACACCAAUUCUUAUGGGAAAUGAAUCUCCUCCUCCUAGUCCCUUUGGCGCAGCACCUUCAGCUCCUGUUUCCUCCUCUGAAGAUAUCAUUAUGGCGGAGCUAUCUCAGAUCAAAUCACAGCAAGAACAAAUUCAGAAUCAAUAAGUUGAAAUUUUGAAGACAUUACGACAGAUGAAUGAAAAAAUAGAUAUCAUGUAUCAGCACUGUGGAUUACCUCCUAAGGAUUAAAUUGAUGUAUCUUUUUAUUCUGUU